rnacentral:rRNA from 1 species
UACGAAGGGGGCUAGCGUUGCUCGGAAUCACUGGGCGUAAAGGGUGCGUAGGCGGGUCUUUAAGUCAGGGGUGAAAUCCUGGAGCUCAACUCCAGAACUGCCUUUGAUACUGAAGAUCUUGAGUUCGGGAGAGGUGAGUGGAACUGCGAGUGUAGAGGUGAAAUUCGUAGAUAUUCGCAAGAACACCAGUGGCGAAGGCGGCUCACUGGCCCGAUACUGACGCUGAGGCACGAAAAGCGUGGGGAGCAAAC